AAAGCGUGCGCAGGCGGUUCGGAAAGAAGGAUGUGAAAUCCCAGGGCUUAACCUUGGAACUGCAUUCUUAACUACCGGGCUAGAGUAUGUCAGAGGGGGGUGGAAUUCCGCGUGUAGCAGUGAAAUGCGUAGAUAUGCGGAGGAACACCGAUGGCGAAGGCAGCCCCCUGGACUAAUACUGACGCUCAUGCACGAAAGCGUGGGGAGCAAACAGGAUUAGAUACCCGAGU
rnacentral:rRNA from 1 species